UAGUCCACGCCGUAGACGAUGGAUACUAGCUGUCUGGAACCUUGAGUUCUGGGCGGCCAAGCGAAAGUGAUAAGUAUCCCACCUGGGGAGUACGUUCGCAAGAAUGAAACUCAAAGGAAUUGACGGGGGCCCGCACAAGCGGUGGAGCAUGUGGUUUAAUUCGAUGAUACGCGAGGAACCUUACCAGGGCUUAAAUGUAUUCUGACAGCUUUAGAGAUAGAGUUUCCUUCGGGCAGAUUACAAGGUGCUGCAUGGUUGUCGUCAGCUCGUGCCGUGAGGUGUUGGGUUAAGUCCCGCAACGAGCGCAACCCUUGUCUUUAGUUGCCAUCAUUAAGUUGGGCACUUUAAAGAGACUGCCGGUGACAAACCGGAGGAAGGUAAGGAUGACGUCAAGUCAGCAUGCCCCUUAUGCUCUGGGCUACACACGUGCUACAAUGGCCGUGACAAAGAGUUGCUACUUUGUGAAAACAAGCUAAUCUCAUAAACGCGGCCUCAGUUCGGAUUGC
rnacentral:rRNA from 1 species